rnacentral:rRNA from 1 species
AUACGUAGGUGGCAAGCGUUGUCCGGAAUUAUUGGGCGUAAAGCGCGCGCAGGCGGUCUUUUAAGUCUGAUGUGAAAUCUUGCGGCUUAACCGUAAGCGGUCAUUGGAAACUGGGAGACUUGAGUACAGAAGAGGAGAGUGGAAUUCCACGUGUAGCGGUGAAAUGCGUAGAGAUGUGGAGGAACACCAGUGGCGAAGGCGACUCUCUGGUCUGUGACUGACGCUGAGGCGCGAAAGCGUGGGGAGCAAACAGGAUUAGAUACCCUGGUAGUCCACGCCGUAAACGAUGAGUGCUGGGUGUUAGGGGUUUCGAUACCCUUAGUGCCGAAGUCAACACAUUAAGCACUCCGCCUGGGGAGUACGGCCGCAAGGCUGAA